rnacentral:sRNA from 1 species
CGUUGUUGUCUUUCUUGGACGUUUCCUCCCUAAACUCGGCGGAGCCUCUGGCUCCGCCUCUUUUUUUGCCCGG